rnacentral:lncRNA from 1 species
GAAAACAGAAGAUUACCAAGAGAAGGUAAAAACAGCAAACAAGUGAAUUCUUUAAUGCACUUUGCCUAUGGUAAAUACUGCAAACAGGUAAAUUUUCCUGUUUUUCAUGUUUGUGCUAUGCACCUCGUAGUUCACGAUCUGCCCAUAACCUCAUCAACAAUGGACUAACUGUCACUGUUUAUGGAUACAUCUUAUAAUAAAUACUCCCUCCGUUUGAAAAAAAAUGAACCUAUUAUUAUUUGGGAAGUCAAACAAGGUUUUCUUUGACCACAUUUUUGCAAAUACUUUUUAAAUAUUUUGAAUCGUUAAACUAUUGUGACUUAUAGUAUUUUUUUACGUAAUUUCUAAAUAUGUCAAUUUUAUUUCAAAAUUUUUAAAAAAACCUAUGCAAAUUCACACCGAAAAUUAGUCAAUUCGACCCUCGUACUCGGAAAAGGUUCGUUCUUUUUGAAACGGAGGGAGCAGUGGUUGAGAAAAAAGAGACAAGCUUUUCUUUCUGUGCAUGGAGUUCAUUUAUGAACAGUUCAACUUUCAUUAUGCAUUUAUUAACAGUUCAACUUUCAUUAUUUGGAGGGAGCUGCGGGGAGGGGUUCUGGAACAUCCUGCCAAAGAUGGAGGGGUUAAUGUCAUGGGUUUCAAUAUUAGAGGGGAUAAAGAGUAGUAACUCUAUACAUGUGCAAGUACAUUCUAAGUGUAAACAGAAGAUUAGAACAUUCUUUAGGUAAAGCCAAACUAUAAAAUUUUACUCAUGAAUGAAGGCAAUGCCAAUUAUUAACAACACAAACCUGUAGCUCAUGAGCUUAAACUGUCCAUCAGGAGGAACAAAAGACAGAAUUUGGUUUGAUUCCCACGCUCGCAGCCGAACACAAGGAUGGAAUCUCACAUCAUUCAAGAUGGAAGGAUUUGCAAAUGAAAGGGUAAGAUCAGGAAGACCAGAAAGAUGAGAAUUCACUUGAACUUCGC